UACGGGGGGAGCAAGCGUUGUUCGGAUUUACUGGGCGUAAAGGGCGCGUAGGCGGCCAGCGCAAGUCAGUUGUGAAAUCUCCGGGCUUAACUCGGAAAGGUCAACUGAUACUGCGCGGCUAGAGUGCAGAAGGGGCAACUGGAAUUCUCGGUGUAGCGGUGAAAUGCGUAGAUAUCGAGAGGAACACCUGCGGCGAAGGCGGGUUGCUGGGCCGACACUGACGCUGAAGUGCGAAAGCCAGGGGAGCGAACGGG
rnacentral:rRNA from 1 species